rnacentral:rRNA from 1 species
AACCAUGCCCUUCGGGGCUCCUUGGUGAUUCAUAAUAACUUAACGAAUCGCAUGGCCUUGUGCCGGCGAUGGUUCAUUCAAAUUUCUGCCCUAUCAACUUUCGAUGGUAUGGUCUUGGCUUACCAUGGUUUCAACGGGUAACGGGGAAUUAGGGUUCUAUUCCGGAGAGGGAGCCUGAGAAACGGCUACCACAUCCAAGGAAGGCAGCAGGCGCGCAAAUUACCCAAUCCCGACACGGGGAGGUAGUGACAAUAAAUACUGAUACAGGGCCCUUUUGGGUCUUGUAAUUGGAAUGAGUACAAUUUAAAUCCCUUAACGAGGAACAAUUGGAGGGCAAGUCUGGUGCCAGCAGCCGNGGUAAUUCCAGCUCCAAUAGCGUAUAUUAAAGUUGUUGCAGUUAAAAAGCUCGUAGUUGAACCUUGGGCCUGGCUGGCCGGUCCGCCUCACCGCGUGCACUGGUCCGGUUGGGCCUUUCCUUNUGGGGAGCCGCAUGCCCUUCACUGGGUGUGUCGGGGAACCAGGACUUUUAC